AACGUAGGGGGCGAGCGUUGCCCGGAUUCACUGGGCGUAAAGCGCGUGUAGGCGGUUCGUUAAGUCGGAUGUGAAAUCCCGCGGCUCAACCGCGGAAUUGCAUCCGAUACUGGCGAACUUGAGGACGGUAGAGGCCGGUGGAAUUCCCGGUGUACCGGUGAAAUGGGCAGAUAUCGGGAGGAACACCAGUGGCGAAGGCGGCCGGCUGGGCCGAUCCUGACGCUGAGACGCGAAAGCCAGGGGAGCGAACCGGAUUAGAAACCCCCGUAGUCC
rnacentral:rRNA from 1 species